rnacentral:rRNA from 1 species
GGGGAAUAUUGCACAAUGGGGGAAACCCUGAUGCAGCAACGCCGCGUGAGUGAUGACGGUCUUCGGAUUGUAAAGCUCUGUCUUCAGGGACGAUAAUGACGGUACCUGAGGAGGAAGCCACGGUCAACUACGUGCCAGCAGCCGCGGUAAUACGUAGGUGGCGAGCGUUGUCCGGAUUUACUGGGCGUAAAGGGUGCGUAGGCGGAUGUUUAAGUGAGAUGUGAAAUACCCGGGCUUAACUUGGGUGCUGCAUUUCAAACUGGAUAUCUAGAGUGCAGGAGAGGAAAGCGGAAUUCCUAGUGUAGCGGUGAAAUGCGUAGAGAUUAGGAAGAACAUCAGUGGCGAAGGCGGCUUUCUGGACUGUAACUGACGCUGAGGCAUGAAAGCGUGGGGAGCAAAC